rnacentral:rRNA from 1 species
GACAGAGGGUGCAAACGUUGCUCGGAAUUACUGGGCGUAAAGCGCGUGUAGGCGGGCUGAUAAGUCGGACGUGAAAUCCCUGAGCUCAACUCAGGAACUGCAUUCGAAACUGUCAGUCUGGAGUAGUGGAGAGGAAAGCAGAAUUCCUGGUGUAGAGGUGAAAUUCGUAGAUAUCAGGAGGAACACCGGUGGCGAAGGCGGCUUUCUGGACACUUACUGACGCUGAGA